rnacentral:rRNA from 1 species
GCCUGUAUGAAGUCGGAAUUGCUAGUAAUCGCGGAUCAGCAUGCCGCGGUGAAUACGUUCCCGGGCCUUGUACACACCGCCCGUCACACCAUGAGAGUUGGCAACACCCGAAGUCAGUAGCCUAACCGCAAGGGGGGCGCUGCCGAAGGUGGGGUUGAUGAUUGGGGUGAAGUCGUAACAAGGUAUC